rnacentral:lncRNA from 1 species
AAAGACCAGGGAGAUGCUAUGUGAGCCAAGUGGAGGAGGAGAAAUGGGUGGAUCAACUUGUAUAACUAAAUUAUUGCUCUUGGUUGUCUUUCUACAGAGUGCUUCCUGCAAAGUAUUAGCAGCAGUGAUGAGGAAGAGAAUGCAGACUCUCCACAUGACUGCUGCCCUCAGACACCAGAAAACUUCAUGGAAGAUAUUGAAGAUUUGGAGAAAGAUAACAAGAAUACGGAGAUGUCAGAAAGCUCUUUGGUCAUCUUUGUGA